GUGAAUUGUAUAUGGAAAAAAAAGAAAAAGAAGCGGCGAAAUGAAACACUAGGAUGUAUGUAUAUUCCUGUGGAUGCAUCCAUAUCAGAUCUGAAGGGAGAAAUUCCCACUCCAACUUGAUCGUGUUCUUCAUCGUGCCUUAUAACCCGGUCCUGACUUUGCAUGCCCUCUUGCAGAGACACACUCUUCGACCAUCUCAUUUGUGAAGGAGGUUCUUGGGCUUUGGCUUGAAGUGUUUUCCUCCUUUUGCUCUUAGCCUUGGCAUCCUUUUCAACAUUUUCUUGAACAGAGACCUGACGCAGUUCAUCUUUGUCCUAAUUUUUCUCUCCAUUUCUGUUCAAAUCUGACUUGCAAGGAACGUGUGCCAAUGCAGACAUAUACGAUCAACUGAUAAUGGUGUUGGAUGGGGUGUUAUUUGGGGAUUCAUAUCUUUUUUGUUUCUUUGUGGAUCCAUGCACCUUGGCCUUGUGAUCUUGUCUUGAGGUAUGAUGUCCUUAUUUAUCAUUUUUUUAGUAAAGAUAUGUGGGUAUGUUUUUUUCUAAAAAUAUUUUUGUCUAGGAUAAUGCUGGAAAAGGAAAGUUACUUCUUCAAUGUGAAGGAUGAGAAACAUACUUAGCAAUGAAGCUUGAGUGAUGAUUAGAGGAUCAAUCUGCUCCAGUCCUUCAUUCUUGAUCAUCUUGAUGGCAUUUAAAACUGCUCUAAUAGGCAGCACUGCCAGAUCUAUUGAAAAGCCUUUACAAAGACAUGGUGGGAGGCUUGAACACAAUGAGACAUAUUGCGGUUCAUGCUAUGGUGCGGAAGUGGGUUUGGAUGGCCACGAAGAGGUGGAAGGCACUUCAAAUUUCAAGCAUAGGAGAUGACUCUGAUGUUGCUAUUUGUGAUGUUUUGCUGCUGGUUGUGUUUCACAAUCUGCUGAAUGUUUUGUUUUUAGUUUAUGUUCUAGUCCAUUUGUAGUAAAACUUGGGGCUUUUGGAGUCAACAUGUGGAGAUGAGUGCAUUUCGAUUGUUGUAAAAUUUGAGUAGCAUUUGGAGAUAAAUGCACUUGGAUUCUUGUAGAAUUUAAUAUCUAGUUCAUUUUCUGUGUGCAAUGCUUGCCUGCUAAGAGGCAAUUCUUCUAAUUUGAGGCAAAGUC